GUUUGGAAGCAGAAUUUUUUCCUCUGCCAAAGAGAAAUUUGCAAUCGACUGAGGGCUGUUCUUUAUUGUCAAAAACAAGGAAACGAAAAAAGGGGUGCUACUGUUAUUUCUCCCUGGGAAGUGCACACAGCUUGUGCUGAGCACCCUCUGCCAUGACUGGCUAGAAAUUAUCAAGAGUGGCCUCACAAUGACAUCAGGCAGCUCCCUCAGCACUUGCAGGUACUUCCAUGCAGCCCAAGGAUUUGUGCCUGUCCAACUUGUUUAAAUGCCUGCCCUGAGCCUCCUCCAUGGGUGCACACAGUGAAGAAUUUGUUUCUUCUUGACAUAAGUGAACUAAGAAGAGGUCAACUUUGCAUCUGUGGCAUGCCUGAAAUGUAUUUCAGAGGCACCAUGUCCUGCGAAAUAGGCACAAAAUGCCCAAAUGCAGUGCUGCCUGUUCUGUUUGGAGUGUGCUGGAUGGCCUUGGGCAAGUCACUCUGUCUCAGCGCCUUGGUGUAUGUGUGUCAGGUGGAGAUUGCACAGGCUCCCUUGGAAAGCAUCUUGACACCUCUGGUUGGAAAUUUCCACAAGACUUAAACAGCACCUCUGCUAAUCAGUAUCUGCAUGUAAG